rnacentral:hammerhead_ribozyme from 1 species
GUACUGCUGAAGAGGCCAAACUAGGACGAAACAGUUGUUCAGUAC